rnacentral:rRNA from 1 species
GAGGAAUAUUGCACAAUGGGCGAAAGCCCGAUGCAGCAACGCCGCGUGGGCGAUGAAGGCCUUCGGGUCGUAAAGCCCUUUUUGAGGGGAUGAGGAAGGACAGUACCCUCAGAAUAAGCCUCGGCCAACUACGUGCCAGCAGCCGCGGUAAAACGUAGGAGGCGAGCGUUAUCCGGAUUUACUGGGCGUAAAGCGCGUGCAGGCGGAUUGGAGAGUUGGAUGUGAAAGCUCCCGGCUUAACUGGGAGAGGUCGUUCAAUACUUCCAGUCUUGAGUGCAGUAGAGGGAAGUGGAAUUCCGGGUGUAGUGGUGAAAUGCGUAGAUAUCCGGAGGAACACCAGUGGCGAAAGCGGCUUCCUGGACUGUAACUGACGCUCAGACGCGAAAGCUAGGGUAGCAAACG